rnacentral:misc_RNA from 1 species
CAGAGUUGAAAAACUCCCAAACCCAUGUGAACUUACCACUUGUUGCCUCGGCGGAUCGUCACCUAGUGUGGCGGCCGCCGGUGGACAUCUAAACUCUUGUUAUUUUGAGUCAUCUGAGCGUCUUAUGUAAAUAAGUCA